GCCCGGAUGGUGGAAUUGGCAGACACGCUAGCUUCAGGUGCUAGUGAGCCUACGCUCAUGGGGGUUCAAGUCCCCCUCCGGGCA
rnacentral:tRNA from 3 species